UACGGGGGGGGCAAGCGUUGUUCGGAAUUACUGGGCGUAAAGGGCGCGUAGGCGGCCAGACAAAGUCGAGCGUUAAAUUCCAGGGCUUAACCCUGGGCUGUUGCUCGAUACUAGUCGGCUAGAGUGUGGAAGAGGGUGCUGGAAUUCCCGGUGUAGCGGUGAAAUGCGUAGAGAUCAUGAGGAAGACCAGUGGCGAAGGCGGGUCUCUGGACAGUUCCUGACACUGAGACACGAAGGCCAGGGGAGCAAACGGG
rnacentral:rRNA from 1 species